rnacentral:rRNA from 1 species
ACCUACGGGAGGCAGCAGUGGGGAAUAUUGCACAAUGGGGGAAACCCUGAUGCAGCAACGCCACGUGAGUGAAGAAGUAUUUCGGUAUGUAAAGCUCUAUCAGCAGGGAGGAAGAAAGACGGUACCUGACUAAGAAGCCCCGGCUAACUACGUGCCAGCAGCCGCGGUAAUACGGAGGAUGCGAGCGUUAUCCGGAUUUAUUGGGUUUAAAGGGUGCGCAGGCGGUCUGUUAAGUCAGCGGUCAAAGCCCGGGGCUCAACCCCGGCCCGCCGUUGAAACUGGCAGU